AUUGAACGCUGGCGGCAGGCCUAACACAUGCAAGUCGAACGGUAACAGGAAGCAGCUUGCUGCUUUGCAGACGAGUGGCGGACGGGUGAGUAAUGUCUGGGAAACUGCCUGAUGGAGGGGGAUAACUACUGGAAACGGUAGCUAAUACCGCAUAACGUCGCAAGACCAAAGAGGGGGACCUUCGGGCCUCUUGCCAUCGGAUGUGCCCAGAUGGGAUUAGCUAGUAGGUGGGGUAACGGCUCACCUAGGCGACGAUCCCUAGCUGGUCUGAGAGGAUGACCAGCCACACUGGAACUGAGACACGGUCCAGACUCCUACGGGAGGCAGCAGUGGGGAAUAUUGCACAAUGGGCGCAAGCCUGAUGCAGCCAUGCCGCGUGUAUGAAGAAGGCCUUCGGGUUGUAAAGUACUUUCAGCGGGGAGGAAGGGAGUAAAGUUAAUACCUUUGCUCAUUGACGUUACCCGCAGAAGAAGCACCGGCUAACUCCGUG
rnacentral:rRNA from 1 species